rnacentral:rRNA from 1 species
CAAUAGCGUAUAUUAAAGUUGUUGCAGUUAAAAAGCUCGUAGUUGGAUUUCGGGGCAGCCUGGCUGGUCCGCCGCAAGGCGAGUACUGGUCAGCCGCCCUUCCUCUCGAAAGCCCCGACUGCUCUUUAUUGCAGUGGUCGGGUAGUUCGGGACGUUUACUUUGAAAAAAUUAGAGUGUUCAAGGCAGGCCUACGCCUGAAUACAUUAGCAUGGAAUAAUGGAAGAGGACCUCGGUCCUAUUUUGUUGGUUUCCAGGACCGAAGUAAUGAUUAAGAGGGACAGUUGGGGGCAUCCGUAUUUAAUUGUCAGAGGUGAAAUUCUCGGAUUUAUGAAAGACGAACAACUGCGAAAGCAUUUGCCAAGGAUGUUUUCAUUAA